rnacentral:rRNA from 1 species
AUUGAACGCUGGCGGAAUGCUUUACACAUGCAAGUCGAAUGGUAGAGGGGGCAACCCCUCGAGAGUGGCGAACGGGUGAGUAAUAUAUCGGAACGUGCCCAGUCGUGGGGGAUAACGUAGCGAAAGUUACGCUAAUACCGCAUACGAUCUAAGGAUGAAAGCGGGGGAUCGCAAGACCUCGCGCGAUUGGAGCGGCCGAUAUCAGAUUAGGUAGUUGGUGGGGUAAAGGCUCACCAAGCCAACGAUCUGUAGCUGGUCUGAGAGGACGACCAGCAAAACUGGAACUGAGACACGGUCCAGACUCCUACGGGAGGCAGCAGUGGGGAAUUUUGGACAAUGGACGCAAGUCUGAUCCAGCCAUUCCGCGUGCAGGAUGAAGGCCCUCGGGUUGUAAACUGCUUUUGUACGGAACGAAAAGGUCUCUCUUAAUACGGGGGGCUCAUGACGGUACCGUAAGAAUAAGCACCGGCUAACUACGUGCCAGCCGCCGCGGUAA